GUGCUCGUUUCCACAGCACGAAUGCUAAAAUUGGAACGACAUAAAAAAGAUUAGCACAGCCCCUCCACAAGGAUGACAUGCAAAUCCAUGAGGCAUUCCAGAAGAAU
rnacentral:snRNA from 1 species